AGGGGUGUAGCUCAGUUGGUUAGAGCGUCGGUCUCCAAAACCGAAGGCCCACGGUUCGAGUCCGUGCUCCCCUGCCA
rnacentral:tRNA from 4 species